GACAGAGGUGCCGAGCGUUAGGCGGAAUCACUGGGCUUAAAGCGUGUGUAGGCGGGCGAUCAAGUACCUUGUGAAAUCCCACGGCUCAACCGUGGAACCGCUGGGUAUACUGGUUGUCCUGAGCCGGCUAGGGGCGAGCGGAACAGACGGUGGAGCGGUGAAAUGCGUAGAUAUCGUCUGGAACGCCGAAGGUGAAAACAGCUCGCUGGGGCCGCGCUGACGCUGAGACACGAAAGCCAGGGGAGCGAACGGG
rnacentral:rRNA from 1 species